GUUCCUUUGAGGACAUCCGAUAAAAUUGGAAUGAUACAAAUAUGAUUAGCAUGACCGUUGUGUAAAAGAUAUAACACGAAAUGUACUGAAUUAGAUAUAUAUUU